rnacentral:rRNA from 1 species
CCCUUAGAUGUUCGGGGCCGCACGCGCGCUACACUGAAGGAAUCAGCACGUCUUUCUCCUUGUCCGAAAGGACUGGGUAACCCGCUGAACCUCCUUCGUGCUAGGGAUUGGGGCUUGUAAUUCUUCCCCAUGAACGAGGAAUUCCCAGUAAGCGCGAGUCAUAAGCUCGCGUUGAUUACGUCCCUGCCCUUUGUACACACCGCCCGUCGCUACUACCGAUUGGAUGGUUUAGUGAGAUCCUCGGAUUGGUCCCGGCGCGGCCUCUGGUCGUGCCGGAGUACCGAAAAGAAUGUCGAACUUGAUCAUCUAGAGGAAGUAAAAGUCGUAACA